GCGUACACGGUGGAUGCCCUGGCAGUCAGAGGCGAUGAAGGGCGUGCUAAUCUGCGAUAAGCGCCGGUAAGGUGAUAUGAACCGUUAUAACCGGCGAUACCCGAAUGGGGAAACCCAGUGUGAUUCGUCACACUAUCAUUAACUGAAUCCAUAGGUUAAUGAGGCGAACCGGGGGAACUGAAACAUCUAAGUACCCCGAGGAAAAGAAAUCAACCGAGAUUCCCCCAGUAGCGGCGAGCGAACGGGGAGGAGCCCAGAGCCUGAAUCAGCAUGUGUGUUAGUGGAAGCGUCUGGAAAGGCGCGCGAUACAGGGUGACAGCCCCGUACACAAAAGCGCAUGUGCUGUGAGCUCGAUGAGUAGGGCGGGACACGUGGUAUCCUGUCUGAAUAUGGGGGGACCAUCCUCCAAGGCUAAAUACUCCUGACUGACCGAUAGUGAACCAGUACCGUGAGGGAAAGGCGAAAAGAACCCCGGCGAGGGGAGUGAAAAAGAACCUGAAACCGUGUACGUACAAGCAGUGGGAGCACCCUUUGGGUGUGACUGCGUACCUUUUGUAUAAUGGGUCAGCGACUUAUAUUCUGUAGCAAGGUUAACCGAAUAGGGGAGC
rnacentral:rRNA from 1 species